GUUCCUGUUCGUGGGGCUACAUGUUGCAGUAGUUCGUAUUUGAGGUGGUGGACUGUCUUUAAGUGUGGCAGUCGGAGUCUUACCGUGCAGUUUUAUUAACUCUCAGCUGCAGUGUUGGCUGCUGGAGACUCGGCGGUGCUGCACAGAUCAGACAGAAGAACAAAAAGGCGUGACUUCCACAGACUCUGAAGCUUUACGUGCGAUAUUCUUUUAACACAUCGUGUCCUGUUUCCACGAAGGUUUUUAAAUCCAUAAGGAUCUCUUUCUCAAUGGCGAUACCAGCAGUGAUGACAGCCAACUUGUCAGCAAGAUUUCGCGCUCUUUGCUUUCAAAUUACGUACAUCACUUAAAGCGUGAUUGUGUCACUCAAGGGCAGCUAGAAGGCCUCGACUGGGACAUAUCCUAAAGACCACACCCACCAAGAACAAAUAAAUCAAUCUGAUUGGCUGAUGAAUCUGACAAUCUGACUUUUAGAUGCCUAUUCUCUGCACUGUUUAGGGAUUCUGUUGAAAUUCUGAAGGCAUAACAGGGUGGAGCUCAGACUCACGCGCUGCUUCAGCUAAAGCACUCGGCUUUGGGCAUGUGAUUUGUAAACCAGUUGUCACGCUUCACUUGUAAGGAUCAAGGAAUAAAUUCUGAUUGGAUAAACUAUUCGUUGUUUGCUAUUCAUUUUUAGUGGAGUGUAAAGUGAUUGAAAAUAAAUAGGCAAAAAGGUGAAUGAGAAUGAAUGGAUGAAAAAAUAUUUAUUUAUUUAUUAGACAUCAGAAAGGAGAAGGCUUUGCUGGCCCUGAGAAUUCGCCACUGGAUCUGAGUGACUUUGACAAGGGCCAAAUUGUGAUGGCUAGAAGACUGGUUCAGAGCAUCUCCAAAAUGGCAGGUCUUGUGGGGUGUUCCUGGUAUGCAGUGGUUAGUACCUACCAAAAGUGGUCCAAGGAAGGACAAUUGGUGAACCGACGACAGGGUCAUGGGCGCCCAAGGUUCAUUGAUGCACGUGGGGAGCGAAGGUUAGCCAGUCUGGUCCAGUCCCACAGAAGAGCUACUGUAGCACAAGUUGCUGAAAAACUUAAUGCUGGCCACGAUAGAAAGGUGUCAGAACACACAGUGUAUCACAGCUUGCUGCAUAGCCGCAGACUGGUCAGAGUGCCCUUUCUGACCCCUGUCUACCGCCGAAAGCGCCUACAAUGGGCACGUGAGCGUCAGUAUUGGACAAUGGAGCAAUGGAAGAAGGUGGCCUGGUCUGAUGAAUCACGUUUUCUUUUAGAUCAUAUAGACGGCGGGGUGCGUUGUUUACCUGGGGAAGAGAUGGCAGCAGGAUGCACUAUGGGAAGAAGGCAGGCAGUGUGAUGCUCUGGGUAAUGUUCUGCUGGGAAACUUUGGGUCCUGGCAUUCAUGUGGAUGUUACUUUGACACGUACCACCUACCUAAAGAUUGUUGCAGACCACCUACACCCCUUCAUGGCAACGGUAUUCCCUGAUGGCAGUGGCCUCUUUCAGCAGGAUAAUGCGCCCUGCCACACUGCAAAAAUUGUUCAGGAAUGGUUUGAGGAUCAUGACAAAGAGUUCAAGGUGUUGACUUGGCCUCCAAAUUCCCCAGAUUUCAAUCCAGGUAUGUACUGGACCAGCAAGUCCGAUCCAUGGAGGCCCCACCUUGCAACUUACAGGACUUACAGGAUCUGCUGCUAACGUCUUGGUGCCAGAUACCACAGGACACCUUCAGAGGUCUUGCGGAGUCCAUGCCUCGACGGGCCAGAGCGGUUUUGCAGCACGAAGGGGACCUACAUGAAAUUAGGCAGG